GAGAAGCGACUGAACACAAAAUGGUCUGCAGAUUUUUUAAAAACAUCAGAGCUGGAGUGGAGAAAGAUGGCCGAGUAGGAAGAGCUCCAGUCUGCAGCUCCCAGCAAGAUCAAUGCAGAAGGAUAGGAUAGGAGAUAUAAACAUAAUCAUAGGCACACAGAUACUGCGGCCAAUGAAAGAUGUGACAGCUAAGACAGACAGAAGCCGGUAACUUGCUCAAGGUCCAGAGCUAAUAGACAGCAGCGCUGGCAAUGAGGCAGUGAUUGAGGGUAAGCAAUACAGGAUUAGCCACCAAUUGUGUGUAGAAAACUUGACAUCAUUUGUGACUUCUCACCUGUGUUCUCUGUAUUGUAGAUAUUUUCAUAGGAAAUUGGGAGAAGUUUUAUUAGAAACUACUAGCUUAUUAAGGAACUACUUUAUUAUUUUAUCUUUCUGAAAUGGUAGUUUCUCUUUUCUUCUUUGAGAGUGUUGAGAAUGGAUAUUAAUGAAUAAAAAAUCGGCCAGGCAUGGUGGUUCAUGCCUGUAAUCUCAGCACUCUAGGAGGCCAAGGAGGGUGGAUUGCUUGAUUCCAGGAGUUUGAGACCAGCCUGGCCAACAUGGCGAAACCCCAUAUCUACUGAAAAUACAAAAAAUUAGCUGGGCAUAGUGGCAUAGGCCUGUAAUCCCAGCUACUUGGGAGGCUGAGGUGGGAGAAUCAUUUGAGCCCAGGAGGUCGAGGCUGCAGUGAGCUGAGAUCACACCACUACUCUCCAGCCUGGAUAACCAGAGUGAAACCCUGUCUC